GGACGUCUUGCUUGGGGCCAGGGCUCUGUCUGCAGUGCUUCCAGCUGCCAAUGGUGGAGCUGGGGUGUCCAGCAACAGGGAGGAGAGAAUGGUCACUGGCCCCAUGCCCUGCUGACUGACCCUCAGACAGGAGGAGAGACAACAGAGGCAUGCUGCUAUCUUAAGCAACUCUCUUUGGGGACCAUUUGUUUUGUAGCCUGUGUGAACAGAGCUUGCGGUUCCUGGUUCUGCACCACUAUGGACCCAGCUGCUGGAACGCUGCCCUGCAAGUCAUUCCUGCUGCCGUGAGCCAGAUGCCGGGCAUGGAGAAGCUGGGUCACCUGGAGAGCGAGUGCUGACCUGAGGGGAGACUGAGGCCCGUUUUCCAUGAGCCUGUGCCAUCUUACACUUCUGCUAGCCGCACUUGAGAGUCCAGCUACACUUGGUGUUCAGUCACUUCUCAUUACCUUACCACCGAGUGGCAGUUCUGUUCCUAUGUCUUAAGUUUGCAUUUCUUUCCUCCCUAGAGAUAUUGAGCAGGCAGGUGCAGUGCCCCACACCUGUAAUUCCAGCUGCUCAAGAAGCUCAGGCAGGAGGACUACAAUUUCUGGGCAACUUUGAGACCCUGUCUCAAAGAUUAAAAAGAGUGGGGAUAUGUGGCUUAGUGGUAGCACUGGCCUAGCAUACAUUCAGUACUGGGUUCAAUCCCCCAGUACUGAAAAAAAAAGUUUUAAUUGUGCAAUAGUAUUAUAGUUGCAAAAGAUUUGUUUUGUUAGUGUUUUCACAGUAUAUGAAAUACUUUUAUAUUUUCACAGUAUAUACAUUUUUCAUCUUUCCACUUUAAAUCUUUCCUAUCCUUAUAUUCUUAUAAGCAGCAUGUAAUAUUGUUUUUCCUUCCUGUUUAAUAUUCUUUGUCUUUUAGUUGGAAUAUUUGGUCUUUUUACAUCUACUGUAAUAUUGAUGGAUUUGGAUUUAAAUCGUUCAUAUUACUAUUUGUUUUCCUAUCUAUCCUCUGUCCUUUUCCUUCCUGUUUCUUACCUCCUUUUAUACUAAUCAUAUUUUAUUGCUUUAUUUUACCUCUAACAAAAAGUUGCAUCAACUUUUACUGGUCACCCUAGAGAUUAUAAUAUGAAUCCUUGGUCUAAUACUGUAGAGUCAAAUACUGUACAAACUAGUACUUUGCCACUUCCAUGAUGUUGUAAAGACACAUUUAGAUGCCUCCUGCCUUUGGAGCUAUUGUUAUCAUGUCAUGUAUGUAUUAGUGUGUAAAUAUUUUUGAAUCAACUUUAUUGAGGUAUAAUUUACAUGCAACACAACAGGCACAGUUUAAGUGUAUAGUUUGAUCAGUUUACAAAUAUAUCAAUG
rnacentral:lncRNA from 1 species